UUGCUCCUUCCCUUGCGUUGGGGAGAUUCCAUUGAGAAACGGCACAGUGCCAUGCUUCUCUAGCAUUCCACUUGUAAUGAUGGAAAGCUUCAACCCAUACUUAAGCUUUUUUUUUUUUGGUAAAGAACCCAUACUUAAGUUCAUUCCCACCUAAGACCAGCUCAAGCACCCCAGUCCAAGACAGUGCAACAGGGACCAAGAGAGGGAAAAUGUCGGCUCAUAUUAUCAUCACUGUAUUCGCAAUAUGGAUUCGACCCACAGGGGAUUUGGUAAGACAGGGAGAUCUCAAACCUGGAGAUCACAUCUAUACUUAUCGGCUGUAUGGCCUAUACCCCCACCAUGGUUAGUGGUUCAUCCUCUUCUUCCUUUUCCUAUUAAUCAUUAUCAUUUUUCUUGAACAUAGAUAUCUUCAUAUGUGGCUCGACUGAAUUUUCCUUUAUUAUCUUAUGUUUUUGGCCCAAGAACAGUAUUUGCAUAGCUUCAGAGAUAAAAGACUCUCCUCCACCGGUCCUCCGCCGCCGCCGCACGUUCCGGCCGCUCCCCUCCGGCGGCCCCAUUGUCGACCCCUCUUCUCAGCUUUUCAGGAGUCGACGAAAUGCCAGAGAGAGAACCUGACUGAGCUGUGCUUCAUUUCCUUCUUUCCGGUCGCCGAUUUAUAUCAAGCUUCGCCAUUAUACUUCUCAGCAGUUCCAGCGUUGACCGUCUUCAUCUCCAGCGAAUCUCCAUCGUAGACUCUCCC
rnacentral:lncRNA from 1 species